rnacentral:rRNA from 1 species
UGGGGAAUAUUGGACAAUGGGCGCAAGCCUGAUCCAGCCAUGCCGCGUGUGUGAAGAAGGCCUUCGGGUUGUAAAGCACUUUUGUCCGGAAAGAAAUCCUGUCGGCUAAUACCCGGCGGGGAUGACGGUACCGGAAGAAUAAGCACCGGCUAAUUUCGUGCCAGCAGCCGCGGUAAUACGAAGGGUGCAAGCGUUACUCGGAGUUACUGGGCGUAAAGCGUGCGUAGGUGGUUUGUUAAGUCUGAUGUGAAAGCCCUGGGCUCAACCUGGGAACUGCAUUGGAUACUGGCUUACUAGAGUGCGGUAGAGGGUGGCGGAAUUCCCGGUGUAGCAGUGAAAUGCGUAGAUAUCGGGAGGAACAUCCGUGGCGAAGGCGGCCACCUGGACCAGCACUGACACUGAGGCACGAAAGCGUGGGGAGCAAACAGGAUUAGAUACCCUGGUAGUCCACGCCCUAAACGAUGCGAACUGGAUGUUGGGAGCAACUAGGCUCUCAGUAUCGAAGCUAACGCGUUAAGUUCGCCGCCUGGGAAGUACGGUCGCAAGACUGAAACUCAAAUGAAUUGACGGGGUCAUAGCUGUUUCC